rnacentral:rRNA from 1 species
GAUGAACGCUGGCGUAUGCCUAACACAGUGCAAGUCGUACGAGAGUUUUUAACNCUAGUGGCGGACGGGUGAGUAACACGUGAGAAUUUGCCUUUAGAGGGGGACAACAAUUGGAAACGAAUGCUAAUACCCCAUAUGCUUUCGAGUGAAAUGGAUUUUAUCCGCCUAGAGAGAAGCUCGCGGCUGAUUAGCUUGUUGGUAAGGUAAGAGCUUACCAAGGCGACGAUCAGUAUCUGGUUUGAGGGGACGAUCAGACACACUGGAACUGAGACACGGUCCAGACUCCUACGGGAGGCAGCAGUGGGGAAUUUUCCGCAAUGGGCGAAAGCCUGACGGAGCAAUACCGCGUGAGGGAAGAAUGCCUAUGGGUUGUAAACCUCUUUUUUCAGGGAGGAAUAAAAUGACGUGUACCUGAAGAAUAAGCAUCGGCUAACUCCGUG